ensembl:lncRNA
CCACAAGAGAGGUGGACACAGAUAAUCAAGUCAAUCUGUUAACUAUUUAGUCGAUUGGCAGACUCGGUGUUCCAAAGCAAUUACGAUCUCGGAAACGGAAUCCUGCUUAAUUCCGCUAUUUUCAAACGCUAAAGAGAACUAAUUCAGACACGGAGUGUGAGAGAGAACCCGUUGGCCUCGUCGGACCGAACGGAGAACGCGAAUCCCUGAUCGACGACGUCAAUCGUCAAGUCUUUUUCCCGCAUUGGUAAAUGGCUAUUUAUUUCUCCCUCUUCUAGCCUGUGUUUGGAACCAGAGCUCUGCGGCGAGAGGAAGAAAACACAGAAGAGCCUGAACCCUCUCGCGGCCCUUCUAAUGACCUAGAUGAAGCGGCCCGGGUAAAUCCCACACUGCAGCAGCCCGGGAAAUGUAUAGACGGGAGCAUGCGGCUCCAGCCUCCAAAUCACUAACAACUGGUAUGGAGACAUUCAGAAAGAAGGCAAAGGCCUGAAUCGACCACCAACGUCCAAAAACAAGUUGGAUGAACAACACACAAAGGCCAGCAGCCUCAAAGCAUGUCUGUCAUACCUCGCCCCGGAACAACGACGCGGGAGGCGUGGAGAUCACGCUCCAUCACUUUCCACGUGGAAGUCACCCAGGUGACUUUGCUCUCUCUGCUCUGAUUUCCUCCGAGAGCCGCGGAAUGCUUACCGGAAUGGACCUCCCUGCAUGUAGGGAUGAGCCUAAUGCAUGCUGAUCCUGUGAGACGCAUUUCUUUUAUCUGCAAUUGGAAAUCAAUUUGUGAUUUGAAUGGAUGUUAAGGUUCAAGGUAAUAGCCUAAUUGUAGCAUCAAUCCUUUUGUGGUAGACGUCAAACUAAUUGAUUGAAUAAUCAUCCACCAACUGAGAUAAUCAAAGUAUUAUCCCUAUGCGGUUGUAUGUCUACUAGUAUUGUCGUUUCAAUAUUAUUGUUGUACAUAGUACUUUGUAGUAUAAUAUCCAUAAUAUUAUGCUGAUUAUUGUGAGCCAUGCUUUUCCUCAAGAAAGGCGGUAAGGAAAAUAAAAAUAACAACAUUUUGGCUCAGCGAAGACAUAUUGUCGACCAACACAGACCUCAGAUAUUCUAGAACAGGGAAGGAUUGCAGCUGUCAUGAUUUCUAUGGCUGUGUACAUCAUAUUUUGUAUGGGUUGUUCUGGGAGCAUUGACGCAUCACUGUUGAAUGAUUGACAAAGAUCUGUCCAAACGCGUCCAGGCAAUAUAAUAUUGCGUUUUGAUAAUAAAUCCCUGUUCUGAC